rnacentral:lncRNA from 1 species
AGAUGGGGAGGAACAGCAAAGCAGCUGGUGAGGCGUGUUUCUUCGUGAUUAUGUUAAGGGCACAGGGACUAAUUGCUCCAAUUAAAAGGCAAAGAUUGUCACACCAGAUACAAAGCCAAGCCCAGCUGUGUGUGGCCUCCUAGAGGACAUCUAAGAUGAAGUAUGACCCCAGGCUGGGCUCACUGGGGCCCGCCGCACACGUCAAGCGCAAGGCAGCCGAGGCAGCAGCCCUGGUGAAGGCGAGGCUGGGCCCCGUGAGAGCCCAGAGAGACGCCAGGCCAGGCUCAGGUCUGCGCCUGCCUGAUAACACCAGAAAACAUGGAAGGCAAACAAGGAGAGGGAAACCGUGACACAUUGCUGGGUGACCGACGGAAUGACCAGAAUGCAAAGAAAAAAAGCCCACGCGUACGUGAAAGAUUUGAAUGAUCUCAUUAGAAUGUAACGGGGACACACAGAACACGGAGUGCAGAACACACUGUCUUUUGGGGUGAGCAUGGAAUCGUUUUAAAAAUUGACGAGGUUCUACCAUUAAAUAAGACUGAAUUUCAAAGGAUCAAUGUGGCUGUAAUGAUGUAAUUUCAAAAAACUUGAUGUGGGCUGUAUACUUGUAAUUCUAGCUACUCGGGUGGGUGAGGCAGGAGGAUCGCAAGUUCAAGGCCAGCCUGGGCAGUUGAACAAGACCUGUC